rnacentral:tRNA from 1 species
AUUAGGGUGGCAGAGUCAGGUAAUUGCACAAGGCCUAAGCCCCUGUACCAGAAGGUUCAACUCCUCUUCCUAAUA